UUGCGCCUGCGGCGGGUCCGGCACAGGCUGUUUUGAGCGCUUCGCAGGCAGCCGGCUUGUGUACGAUCCUGUAUAUCCCGGAAUUACCGGGAUUUAACGGUUUC
rnacentral:sRNA from 1 species